rnacentral:rRNA from 1 species
GAGUGACAGGUGGUGCAUGGUUGUCGUCAGCUCGUGUCGUGAGAUGUUGGGUUAAGUCCCGCAACGAGCGCAACCCUUAUCUUCAGUAGCCAGCAAUUCGGUUGGGCACUCUGGAGAGACUGCCAGGGAUAACCUGGAGGAAGGUGGGGAUGACGUCAAAUCAUCAUGCCCCUUAUGAUUUGGGCUACACACGUGCUACAAUGGCGUAAACAAAGGGAAGCAGCCCUGCGAAGGUGAGCAAAUCCCAAAAAUAACGUCUCAGUUCGGAUUGUAGUCUGCAACUCGACUACAUGAAGCUGGAAUCGCUAGUAAUCGCGAAUCAGAAUGUCGCGGUGAAUACGUUCCCGGGUCUUGUACACACCGCCCGUCACACCAUGGGAGUCGGAAAUGCCCGAAGUCAGUGACCCAACCGCAAGGAGGGAGCUGCCGAAGGUGGAGCCGGUAACUGGGGUGAAGUCGUAACAAGGUAGCCGUAUCGGAAGGUGCGGCUGGAUCACCUC